rnacentral:rRNA from 1 species
GAUAGCUAAUACCGGAUAACAACAAGAUGGUGCCUAUCAACUGUUUAAAGAAUGGUUCUGCUAUCACUCUUGGAUGGACCUGCGGUGCAUUAGCUAGUUGGUAGGGUAACGGCCUACCAAGGCGAUGAUGCAUAGCCGAGUUGAGAGACUGAUCGGCCACAUUGGGACUGAGACACGGCCCAAACUCCUACGGGAGGCAGCAGAU